rnacentral:rRNA from 1 species
GACGAACGCUGGCGGCGUGCUUAACACAUGCAAGUCGAGCGGUAAGGCCCUUUCGGGGGUGGCACGAGCGGCGAACGGGUGAGUAACACGUGGGUGACCUGCCCUCAGCUCUGGGAUAAGCCCGGGAAACCUGGGUCUAAUACCGGAUAUGACUCCAUGACGCAUGUUGGUGGGGUGGAAAGCCUUGUGCGGCUGAGGAUGGGCCCGCGGCCUAUCAGCUUUGUU